AUGAAGUUAAGAUCGGAGCUUGACAUUAGUAGGAACAAAGACAUCAAGACAAAGGAUUUGAGGAAUAGGCUCAAGGUGCUCGUCAAGGAUGCUAGCAAAGAUGACCUUGCUCUGAAAGUGUUCUUCAUUAUUUUGUUUAUGAAGGUUGUGUUGCCUGGUGCCGCCCCGCGUGUUUCCAGAGAGGUAGCAAUGUUUGAGGGUCUCGUCAUUGAGGACAUGGCUAAUAUGAGUUAUUGUCAGCUGAUGGUUGAUGAGCUUAGAAGGGCUGUUGUCAAGUACCAAGAUGGAGUUACCAUGGGGAAGGCAAUCACAGGCUGUGCUAUAGGGUCUGUACUAAUAUACCUUGACUGCCUUAUCCAUGGCAAGACUGCGGAGCCUGACAUGCGAUUCCCCCGCAUAUGUUUCAUGGAUCCUGUCAAGCUUUCUAUCUGGUUGAUGCAGAUUUGA
rnacentral:rRNA from 1 species